rnacentral:lncRNA from 1 species
AGGAUGGCCAGGCACAGUGGCUAACGCCUAUAAUCCCGGCACUUUGGGAGACUGAGGCUGGUGGAUCAGGAGUUCGAGACCAUCCUGGGAAACAUGGUGAAACCCCAUCUCUACAAAAUAUACAAAAAUUAACCAGGUACGGUGGUAGGCACCUGUAAUCCCAGCAACUCAGGAGGCUGAGGCACAAGAAUCGCUUGAACCCAGAAGGUGAAGGUUGCAGUGAGCCGAGCUCAUGCCACUGCACUCUAGUCCGGACGACAGAGCAAGACUCUGUCUCAAAACGAACAAACAAACAAAAGAAUAGGGAACAUAAUUUUAAAUUUAAAUAACUUAGAAUAUUUUAAUAAUAUAUCAUAAUCAAAGGAAAUAAGAGAGGAAGAAAAUAAGAAAAUGGUAGAGGAACAAGUAACAGAGACAGAAAGUAAAAAUU